rnacentral:rRNA from 1 species
UACGAAGGGGGCUAGCGUUGCUCGGAAUUACUGGGCGUAAAGCGCGCGUAGGCGGAUCGUUAAGUCGGGGGUGAAAUCCUGGAGCUCAACUCCAGAACUGCCUUCGAUACUGGCGAUCUUGAGUCCGGGAGAGGUGAGUGGAACUCCGAGUGUAGAGGUGAAAUUCGUAGAUAUUCGGAGGAACACCAGUGGCGAAGGCGGCUCACUGGCUCGAUACUGACGCUGAGGUGCGAAAGCGUGGGGAGCAAACAGG